AUACCAAUAGCUUAAUUGGAUAAAGCAUCCGUUUCCUAUACGGAAGAUUCCGGGUUCAAUUCCCGUUUGGUAUG
rnacentral:tRNA from 1 species